CAAACGGCCCUUUUCAGGGCCACUAAAUUUUGUUGACGCAAACUG
rfam:Trichuris trichiura, WGS project CBXK01000000 data, contig: TTRE_1002